GCCCUGCUCCAUAGCGGCUUCUUUCUUCGUGGCUUCUGUCGCUCUCAUCUACCAGGCAUGGACGUGUUUGGUCUUCAGCGAGGACUCAAGGACAGAGGAGCCGCCUCCCAGGCACUUCUGAUCCCCGGAAGUGGUCUCACUCCUCAGUGGUUCUGGGAACUUGGAGAGCCUCGAGGGCCUUUGGGGAGUUCUCCACGAGGGCCUCCCUACCCACAGCUCUGCUCAAUUAAACUGGCUCUUCUAGCGUUUGUGACCGCCUUUGUGAUUAUGGGGACCUUCUCCCCUUCUUUUCUCCCCACGGCCAUUACUUCUCAUUGAAUUCUCAUUUUGUUUUCCUGUUUGUUUCUCCUCCGCGGCUUCAAGUCGCCAUGGUAACCAAAUUCCUUUGCGAUUCUCCGAGCUACUGGUCAUUCUUGUACCCCGCCGAGUCUUCCUUACUCUCCUCCCUUCCCCCGGAACGGCCAGGGGUCCUCCUUGCCUCUAACAAAGUGCUGCCGCCAUGUUGUUUGGGACAGUCUUCAGGCCAGCUGGGCUCCAUCCGUCCUUUCCUUGUUUUUGGAAGAUGAUGUAGGGGGGGGGAUGGGAGCACAACUUGGACUCCCAUCAAGCCUGCUGCCUUCUGCUUUGGGUGUGUCUCUGGGAUGCUUUUGAAAGCCCAAAGAAGUGGAGGGGAGGCUCCUGCGCCUGCUGAUGGAGCACGAAGGCCCUCUGAGCAAACAAGCCUUGGGGAAGCAAAACGAAAGCUGGCCCCACUUCAUGCCGGGUGUUCAAUGAAGAACCAAAGCUUCCUCCUCCAGCGCGCGCUCGUCUGAAACCCUCCCAGAGGCUCCCCUCUCUUCUUCCUCCCCUUCCUCAGCAGGCUAACUGGAGGCCAAGGCCUCUGGCUUAUUGCUGGGGUGGCGAGCAGCGCUUUGGCAGUGCUUCAUGGCCAACUGGAGUGAUUCCUUCUCCAGCGCCAGUGUAGACAGCAACUUGACAAUGGGCAAUGGGGACUCUGAUUCAGAAUUCCAUCCUGAGUUUUGAGAGCACCACCCUGUGGCUCAUUGCCACCUUCAACUGCAUCAUGGUUGCCUUCAUCUUCUCAAAGGGGAAGAAGCCUUUACAAAAGCCCAUCUAUACCAACCGAAUGGGACCCAACAACUCAGUAACACUGAGCCCUGCUACCCUUUGUAACAGUUCAUCCCAACAGUCCUGUCAUGCAGGAUUUCAGCUCUGGUGGCAUAUUUUGUGGAGGCUCCUACUGUGUGCCAGGCACGGGGAAGUGAAACAGCUCCUCUCCCCUCAAGGAGCCUUUGGAGAAGCAACGUGCACAGGGCAAUGCAUGGAACCAUCUACAGGAAGUUAAUGCAAAGAUGCCAUCCUUCAGAACCGAGAGCUCUGGCUUCUGAUCAAGAAGGAAUGGGGCGUGCGCUCUAAGAGUCAGUACAGGAAAUGGCAGAGAAAGCUAGCCCAGGACCCCAGCUGGCCCCCCAUGAAUAGGACAGAUUACUCAGAAGAAGGCAAAAACGGCUUCUAUAGCAAUCCUGCC
rnacentral:lncRNA from 1 species